AGCAGCAUUUGAACCUAAUACAAGUUUCUGUGUAUUAAUUUGAGCCCCAGGCAGGUGGCUGGCGUAAAGCACACAAGUGGCAGUGGGGCUUGGCAGAUUUUGGUGGAAAGAUUUAUUGUAACACACGUGAGACAUAUAAUAACUAAAUCAAAAUAUAAUUUAUCAUAGCAACAUACUUUUAAUUUAUUAUCUCCAGGAGAGUCCCUGGUGAAAAUAAUUAGGUGUGUGUUGGUUUCUAUCAUUGCUUCAUUUGAUUUGUCUGUAUCAUUUACAAAUCUAAGCCAGCCAAAUUAAUCGGGCAACAGAAUGUGUUUCAUGGUAUUUAACUUGCAUCAAAAGAUAUUUGAUAAAGGAUAUAUACUCUGUGGGAGAGAAAUUAUGCAUAAUAAGCAAAAGAAAUGCAAUUUACAUUCCCUACAAGAACAACCUUAAUUAAAACCGGGCAUUUUUCUAUUCAAAUAAAUUAGUUACAAACAGUUUACAAAUUUCAACAAUACUUUAAAAACCUCUUACCAGGUUAAUUACAGAAGUACUUACUUUUCAUUGUCUUUAUCAGAUCAUGAGAUGCUAUUUAUACAUUCAAGUAUAUAAUAUAUGCAUUGAACACUUGAUUUUGAUAAUGUUGGUUAUGUCUGAUGAUUUUUUCUUGUGUUUAUCCUGGCAUCCCCAUGGAAGAACAUAGAGUUAAAAGGUCAUAUCCAAGUUUACCCAGUUAAUAUUUGAGAAGUUGAGACUAAACCAUUUUUUGUUUGACUCCUAAUCCUAGUUCAGCCCUACUAAAAAUAAAAUAGGUCUUUUGAAUCAUUUGACCAUGAGGGAGAGAGGAAAAUAUCUAGUUGUAUAUUUGGGUAAGUUAAAGAGAUAAAAUUAUAACAAUAUUUAAUUGAUUACAUUGUCAUUUCCAACCCAACAUUAACACACACACAAACACACACACACACACACACACACACACACACACACACACACACACACACACACACACAAAUACUAUCCCCAAUGCCACUGAGCAAUGUAGGCCAUAAGAAUAGGCAUUUCCUAAUAGUUUCCUCAUGAACAUAUUCGUUCCUCAGAUCUAUGCAGAUUGUAAUGUUUGAUAGUUUAAACAACAGAAAGAUUAUAACAAUCUGCAAUCUACAGGAAGCAUAAGAAGAGCAUAGAUGAGAAGAACAAGCAUUUGCCUGAUGUUGACUCAAGUGAAAUAAGGUGAUCACUCAAAGACUAGACUUGCUAAGCAAGAUGAAUUUACUUCUCUUGCUGGCCAAGUGAAAAGUGUGCCUCCUAAGUGAAUUUCACUUUUAAUUCAUACUGUCAUGCCUCUUCUGCUGCUUUGCUACACAUCCCAUUUCCUAUUCUACUUUAGCUGAACAAUCAUGGCUCAAGAAACAGUCUGUUAUUCUUGGUAUCUGACUUUUUGUUAGAAUAUGCUUAUGAUUCAGAUGAAGGUCACAUUUCGCUUAAAUUGCUGUAUGAAAAGACAAAGCCGGGGCUCAAUACAGACACUAGAAAAGGAUAUUAUGGAAGAACGUUGCUAUAAGAAAAACAGUGAUACUCCUUGUUCUGAAUCUCAAAAGAAGAAGACUGGGUAUAACGAUGAGAAUCAAUUCAGGGACCUGAACAAAAGAUGCAUUCUUUUCCGCUCAUGCACAGUAUCAACCACAGAUGGGCAGAUGCUUCCCAGCACAUGAGAAACAGAUUGGAGAAGCCAUUUCAGAUGUUUCCAUUCACUGCAGCACAGGAGGAAAAGAAGUUGCAAGCACUUCAUUUCUCCAGGUUAGAAGUGACACAUGGAGUUCCUUCUCCCAAGUCAAUUAUCUUAAAGCUAGAAAGACCACAAGCAUAAGCCUUAUCUGUCUCCAGCAAGCAAUCAUAAUCUCCUCAGAGCAUGGUGGUCUCUCCUCCAUGCAUGAGAGGCUGAUCUACACCUGUCCCCCCAGAGGAUUCUGAGAGAAGCAAGCGAUGUAGGGCCCAGAGGGCAGAGCUUCUUCCAGACUUGAGCAGCUGGUCUUAGCAGCAGGAUAUGCUCUUCUUGAUGAGGCCACUGAGGGCAAGAGAGCCUUUUCACACUCUCUGGAGAUCUGAAAGCAAAACUGGUGGAGCUCUCCCAGAGUUUUCACCCAGUAGCUGAUGGAAGCAGAAACAAGCACCCUCAGCUAAACAAUUAGCCAUGCUCCUGGAAUCCAGUUGUGGAGAUGGAGGAGGGUGAGCAAAGGAGCCAAGACUGUGCUGGAGAAACCUUCAGAAACAGUUGACCUGACCUAGUGAGAGCACAGAU